CACCGUCAUACCCAAGUGCAGCUCGCAUAGCCGAUUCUUAUUGCUACCCACAAUACACUGCUUCUCUCAAAUGUAAUUGUGAGAACCCCCAGUGUACAAUUUAACUUCUUUUUGUUUGAAUGAACUCUUGUUAGUUUUACGCAGUAUUUUUGUGUCAUACAUGAUUUGUUGUUUGAUUUCAUGUUGAAUUAUUGUUCUUUGUUAUAGGGUCUGUAUAUUAUUUUGUGGGCGAUUAAGAUUCUCCCUGAUUUGAACUUCCCACUACUUGCCAGUAAUUGAU
rnacentral:lncRNA from 1 species